AUCUCUUCUCCUUAACCUAACAAACAACAGCCAAACAACUACAACACUAGUUUCAACCCGUUUCUCCGCGACCCAUUUCUGUCCAACCCAUUUUCAACAAUAUACGCAACACCAGCAUCAGUAAUCCCUCUUCUCUCCCUAAGCAAAGGAACAACAACGUCAAACCUGAUAUCCCUCUUCAACCCAAAAUCGCGAUGAACAUCUUCGACCCAAAAUUGAGAAAACCAGCUUUAACCCGACCCUAUCCUUCUUCACGCAUCUCACGCGUCACUAAGAGAAAGAAAGAAUCCAAAAUCUUCUAGAAACAGUCCAGGUAUCUCCCCCAACGUUCAACUCCACGAAUUUUGGGAUGGGGGGUACGAAUUAGGUACAUAUUUGGUGAUUUUUCAUUGCGUCUGGGGGAGAAUUCAUAUUUCGCCAAUUCUAUUGGUCCACCAUUUCCAAAUUGGUAUAGCUACUAAUGAAACGCCUAGCUAAAAAAGGGAUUUCGAAUUUUAAAUCCCAGAAGAUCCUUUCUUCCACCUUCUAUAUAUAGGAGGGCCUUUGUUUCUUGAAAAAGGGGGGAGGGGGGGUUUGGAGGGUCGAAGAAGGAGAGUAUAGAAAAAUUGGGGGCUUUUUUCUUUUUUUUGGAUGGGAAAUUCUAGGGUCAAAAUUAAGGUUUCAAAAAGAGGGAAAUCUUCUGAGGGAGGUUCUGAUUCAAAAACAGAGAAAGGAUUUUUUUUUUUGGAGUUUCUAAAUGUAGGUUGAAAAUAUUUAGUUGAAAAUCUGGGGGGUUUCAAAAUCUUUAAGAGGAAAAAGCAAAAAGAUGCUCUAUUGGUGGUCGACGUCGCGAGAUUUCGGUAGCGAUAAUUUUGCUGAUAGCUCGUCAUCCCGAUUAGCUGCUCCCUAAAAGGUAACACCCUAUUCCUUUAAGCUUAAGAUUGCUUCUGUUUCAUCUCUUUAUUCUAUAGUCUUAAAUAAUUUAAGACUAUCGUGUAUGCUGGGCUAUCUGUUGUAGAGGUCUUGUAAGACCGUGGGAUACGUUGGAUGAAGGAAUGUUUUGUCAAGUGAUUACGUUUGAUGCUAUACGCCGGGUCCAAUCGUUAAAAUUUGGUUUUCAGUCUCAUUUAGGCGUCUCAAUUUCAUAAUUGGUUACUUGAUUUUGCCAUCGCUAAUUAUCUUCCAAUAUGUUGCUUUGUAUUGUAUAUUACUUCUAAGUCCUACGUACUGAGUUCGAUAGAGAUUCCUAUUUCAAAUUUUUUGCUUCACUGGCUUGUUGAAUGUUGGUUUUGUUCGAGUUGUUUCCCUUAUAUUUAGCUGGCAAUAUCACUAGCAAGACCACUUUUACAAGUUUCUUUGGCAAUACAAAUGUCAAAAAGAAUGACCAAAAUGUGUCUAACAGUGAAAGGUUGCCAGGAGAUCCUAGAAUCUCCUCGACAACCCUUUCUUUUGAGCUUGUCGAAAUAGGGAGGAGAACAAAAAGAUAUUGUAUCUCAUUGGCUCCUUCCUUUAGUUCACUGAUUGUGUUUCCCUUUUUAGUAAAUUUUUCAAGAUUGAUUUGUUGCUUUGGGUUCAUUUCAAGCCAAUAGUCUUCUUAGUUUGAAGUCCAUGAAAGAAUAAAAUGAUUUUGUUGAAGAAUUUUAAACAUGAGAAUGGGUUUGGUCGUGUCAAUGUCCAAAAUUAUUUCUAUGUGUAUAUUCUCCCCUGAGGAUGGUUCGUACAUUUCUUUUAGUUAUUAAUUUCAAGGUGUAAAACUCUCAAAAUUUUGCAAGACCAUGAUUAGUCGAAUGCCUUCAAUUAGACUUUUAAGCUUGUUAUUGCGAAUAUUUUUUAGUUUGUUUUGUUACUUUUGCAACCUUCAGCAGUUUGAGAUUUUUUUUUAGGAUUAAAAGUGGGAAUUUUAGAAGCUUGUUUUGUUCUUGAGUUUUCUACGGUCAAUAGUGAUUUGCGAUUGAAAAUCGUAAGGUCUUUUCGAUUCGUGAUAUUGAAAGAGAUGUGUAAGUUUUUUCUUUAUGAGGUCAUGACGCUGAUCCUAUGGAUCCCCAAUAUCUUGUAGUUUACGUCCUUCCAUUACUUGACAAGAAGAGAAAAGGGUUGAUUCAAGAUAUUUAAUUUGAUGAAAUAGUUUAGAAUCAUUUCGUGACUACUUACCUACCAUUUGUUUGGUUUUAGACAGUCUUAUUCGAAUUAGUAUGUUGUUUUGCUAUGCAUCUUUACCUUUACCUUUUGCUUCAUCUAUCUUCUUUAGAUCAUCGCAUUGGCAGUCUUAUAAGUUGAUAAGUUUGUAGGAACCCUUUCAUGGCUAUUGAUUUAUUACCAUGACUACUUUUUUCUUCUGAUUUCGAUUCAAAUCGGCUCGAUUAGUUUCAGGUUCUGCUCUAUUUUAGUAAAAUACACCCGUAAAUUUCAUUGAUUUGAAUCGUAUACCAUUCGGUAGAACACUGGUGGUUCUUGGUUUAUUUUUUUUGGGGGAAUUGAGCUGGAUUUGUUCUAUAUUAAACUCUGUGGUCUGAAGUCAGUUUAGUGUCUUCUUUGUCAUUUGCAAAUUGAUGUUUUAUCGAUGCCAUCGUUUAAAAGAAUAUGGUAUGCUCAAACUUUGAAACUUUGAUUUUUUUUUCUUUUCCGAAUGCUAUCUUAAAUAAGAUAAUGAAUUCAAAGAUUCUUUCAUGUUAUUUUGGACUGUCUUGGGUGUCAGCUUUCUAAACUAUCAUUUGCAGUUAGAUUAUACCGUGUAAUUAGUCACAGUUGGUCAUAACGUGCAAUUAACCUUUUCCCCUUUAUUUUGAUGCAUGUGAACUUGUUGUGGCUGAUUUCGUCAUGAACUCUUGAUUACAUUUACCUCAUCGAAUCAACUCUUUGAGAACAUUCAAAUCUCGAUCUCAUGGUAUACGAAUGCAAGGAUUCGUAAGGAGACAGUGAAGAUAGGUUAAAGCCCCAUCUUUAAAGCGGCAAAGAAACUCAAAAAUCUCAUUGAUUAGUUUAUUUGUCUACUUAUCAAUUUUAUUUAUUUACUUAUUUAUUUAUUUAUUUAUUCAUUCGGGCCACAAAGUCAAAGUUGUAUUUAAUACAGGUGAAGUGAAAUUCGAGCUGAAAAGGGGCUUGAAAACAUAGAAUUAGGACAGGUUAUGGGUUGAAAACCCAACUAGUUUAGGACAGGGUCGAUGAUUUGGGCUUAAAGCCUAAAUCAUUACUUCUCUCCUUUUCCCUUUCCCUUUUCCUGUUGUUUACCUGCUUACGUGCUCCUUUACGAACCUAGUUAAGUCCCUAACUAAAGUCGCUAAAAAACUAAUUUUGCAAAAAAAAAAUUUCUAAUCAACUACUUUUCAACAAAUUAAUCUUUUCGAAGUUAAUGAAAAGACGAUUUUCAAAUAGUCCGGAUAACCGCAAGUUAGCAGAUGUUUUAGGUGCCUAACACCUUCCUAAAACGUUAAUAGGAACCGCUUACUCAGAAUCUCUUAACUUAAAUGAUUUUUAUAUUUUAGAUCGUUUAAAGUGUUUUAUAAAGGUUUCUUAAUUUCUUUUCAAAAUUAAGUGGUGACUCUUUCAAAAGUCAAAAUUUCCGCAAAACAUGUAUUUCUAUGCUGAGGAAGACAAGUAGUACCCAAUCAUCAUAUUCAUUGUAUGCUUAGCCUUGAUAUUCUCAAAGAUUGAUCUGAAGGUCUUUCUUUGAUUAUAAUUUGGCUUUUGGAUAAGGUUAGAAAGAAAGGAUGACAUGAGGCCCAAACAACACUAGAAGUACGGUAGGACUUACAACUUUUGGAAUCGACUCAAACAAUGAGGAUUAACUCAUGCCCCAGUUUCUUUUGACUGGGUUCUAAAUUGUUUAUUUGGUUGGACCGAGCCCUUAGUAGGGUAGCCUACGUAUCUCACCCUUGAGAGAGGAGAAUCAGGUCAUGCGUAGUUCUGGCAGUUUGUUCUUUUGAUUGAUUCUGAUUUUUUAUUUUUUUUUCUUUUGUUGACUCUUUUCUUUCUUUUUUUUGGGACAUAUUUUCUUCUCUCUCUCUUCUUUUUUUUUGAAAUUUUUCUGACUAUAUUGCUUUGCUCGACACUUUUCUUUUGAGCUUUGUUGACUCUAUCUUGAUUCCAAAAGAGGGGUAUGAAAGAAAAUAGGACUAAAACUCAAAUGGGGUAAACAAAGAAUGACACACUGUUUGGAUAGCAGAAUGAAAUGUCUUCGUCAUAUCAAUCCUUGAAAAUGCAAGUACACAUCAUGCAAUAUGAAAUGAAAGAUGAAGAUCAUUUGUGACACUUUAACAACACUAACUUCAACUGAGCACGUGUCAAUUCUUCUUCUACCCUUGUCAAACACACAACUCCACUUUCGUUGUACAUUCCUCAUGCUGAAGGACUCAUGACUUCGUGGAGCUGAUUUUUUUUCUGUUCCUUUUGACAUAAUCGCACAUUCACUACUUGACUAAUUGAGAUAUGUCUUUCAAUUGAUGACCAAGUUAUUCUCACGAUUCUCAAAAUAAUUGCCUUAAUUUUCAAAGAAGGCUUCAACUUGAUCACUAAAUGCCCCAGCACUCUAUCUAUUUUCUCAGAUGCUCUCUUUUUCUAACUUUAACCCUCUGAUUCAAUGUUCAUGCUUAAAUUGGAUUUUAAGAUCUGGCUGAAAAUUUCCCAAACAUGUCAUAUCACUAGAGUCAACAUAAAAUGAACUCUUCCUAAUAGGGAGAAAGGUUACUUCUCAGUUGCUCAGCUUAUCAUCUUAGCCACUGGUUUGCAUAUCAGCUUUUCAAUUUCU
rnacentral:lncRNA from 1 species